UAGGGGAGCCGGAGGGAAACCGAGUCUUAAGGGCGUUAAGUUGCAGGGUAUAGACCCGAAACCCGGUGAUCUAGCCAUGGGCAGGUUGAAGGUUGGGUAACACUAACUGGAGGACCGAACCGACUAAUGUUGAAAAAUUAGCGGAUGACCUGUGGCUGGGGGUGAAAGGCCAAUCAAACCGGGAGAUAGCUGGUUCUCCCCGAAAGCUAUUUAGGUAGCGCCUCGUGAAUUCAUCUCCGGGGGUAGAGCACUGUUUCGGCUAGGGGGCCAUCCCGGCUUACCAACCCGAUGCAAACUGCGAAUACCGGAGAAUGUUAUCACGGGAGACACACGGCGGGUGCUAACGUCCGUCGUGAAGAGGGAAACAACCCAGACCGCCAGCUAAGGUCCCAAAGUCAUGGUUAAGUGGGAAACGAUGUGGGAAGGCCCAGACAGCCAGGAUGUUGGCUUAGAAGCAGCCAUCAUUUAAAGAAAGCGUAAUAGCUCACUGGUCGAGUCGGCCUGCGCGGAAGAUGUAACGGGGCUAAACCAUGCACCGAAGCUGCGGCAGCGA
rnacentral:rRNA from 1 species